rnacentral:lncRNA from 1 species
CAUAGCAGUGUCCGGGAAUGUCAGGUACACAUUGUUUCAGAACCAGUAAAUUACUUGCAAAUGACCAAGGACCAGAUUUAAGAGCCCUUUCUUUGUCUACCUCUGAUUCGAAAACAAAGGAGAAAAACCCAGGCUCUUUUUGAGAAAUUUCCACUGCUUCUAACUUCCAUGCCUUCUUCAUUGUGUUGCAAAAUGUCUGGAAAUUUACAUUCGGCUUCAAUAAAAGCUUACCAAAGAGAGUAUGUUUACAUUCGAUAAGUUUAUUUGUUGGGGCUUCCUUUCUUACAGCAAUCACAUCAUCUUCUAACCAUAAAUGCCCUAAACUCUUGCAUAGAGCAGCUACACGAAUCUGAUUUUCCUCAUUACUCUCCAUUUUCAAAGCUUUCUGGUGCAGAAUCAGAACAUGGGAACUUCGUACCUGAUUUGGGGGUAUUUCUAAUUUCUGAUUGAAGGGAGCUCCAUCUAACAAAUGAAGGAUAACUUAGCUGCUUUGAGGAGCAAGGCAGUCUGGUCUUCCAUUUAAAACAGAGAUCGAGAGCUCAGAAGGAGGAGAUGAAAUGGAGCGUCAAGUGGCGAAACAUUUGGAGGGGAUCUCAUUUUUAGGGUUUGGAUGAAGGGUUUUCGGUUUUGUGGGUUGUGGUUUUUUUCAUUUUCCUUGGGUAUUACGGGAUGGGUUCACCAUUGUAGGAGGAAUGAAAGCGAGGUUUAGGGUUUGGAAGGUCGAUCACCCUUUGGGGAUAGGGUAAAGCUCCAUCUUCAGGAGAGACUCCUCUACCGGUGUAGGUAGUUCAGAACAUUGAUGGUCUGGUUGACAGUACUAAUUUUACAUCUUAGUUGCCUUAAAAUAAAAAAUAAACGAGAAGUUG